rnacentral:tRNA from 1 species
GUUGUGGCUCAGUGGCAGAGUGUUUGCCUAGCAUGCAUGAGGCACUGAGUUUGAUCCCCAGCACCACA